rnacentral:rRNA from 1 species
GNNGAGGCGGGUGCUACCAUGCAGUCGACGAUGAAGCCCAGCUUGCUGGGUGGAUUAGUGGCGAACGGGUGAGUAACACGUGAGCAACCUGCCCCUGACUCUGGGAUAAGCGCUGGAAACGGCGUCUAAUACUGGAUAUGUCCCGUCACCGCAUGGUGUGCGGGUGGAAAGAUUUUUCGGUUGGGGAUGGGCUCGCGGCCUAUCAGCUUGUUGGUGAGGUAAUGGCUCACCAAGGCGUCGACGGGUAGCCGGCCUGAGAGGGUGACCGGCCACACUGGGACUGAGACACGGCCCAGACUCCUACGGGAGGCAGCAGUGGGGAAUAUUGCACAAUGGGCGAAAGCCUGAUGCAGCAACGCCGCGUGAGGGAUGACGGCCUUCGGGUUGUAAACCUCUUUUAGCAGGGAAGAAGCGAAAGUGACGGUACCUGCAGAAAAAGCACCGGCUAACUACGUGCCAGCAGCCGCGGUAAUACGUAGGGUGCAAGCGUUAUCCGGAAUUAUUGGGCGUAAAGAGCUCGUAGGCGGUCUGUCGCGUCUGCUGUGAAAUCCCGAGGCUCAACCUCGGGCUUGCAGUGGGUACGGGCAGACUAGAGUGCGGUAGGGGAGAUUGGAAUUCCUGGUGUAGCGGUGGAAUGCGCAGAUAUCAGGAGGAACACCGAUGGCGAAGGCAGAUCUCUGGGCCGUAACUGACGCUGAGGAGCGAAAGGGUGGGGAGCAAACAGGCUUAGAUACCCUGGUAGUCCACCCCGUAAACGUUGGGAACUAGUUGUGGGGUCCUUUCCACGGAUUCCGUGACGCAGCUAACGCAUUAAGUUCCCCGCCUGGGGGAGUACGGCCGCAAGGCUAAAACUCAAAGGAAUUGACGGGGACCCGCACAAGCGGCGGAGCAUGCGGAUUAAUUCGAUGCAACGCGAAGAACCUUACCAAGGCUUGACAUACACGAGAACGGGCCCAGAAAUGGUCAACUCUUUGGACACUCGUGAACAGGUGGUGCAUGGGUUGUCGUCAGCUCGUGUCGUGAGAUGUUGGGUUAAGUCCCGCAACGAGCGCACCCUCGUUCUAUGUUGCCAGCACGUAAUGUGGACUCAUGGNNUACUGCCGGGGUCACUCGAGAAGUGNGAUGACGUCAAUCAUCAUGCCCCUAUGUCUUGGNUNNNNCAUGCUACAUGNCCGGUACAUGGNCCUGCGAUACCGUAAGGNNGGAA